AUUGAACGCUGGCGGCAUGCUUUACACAUGCAAGUCGGACGAGUGGCGAACGGGUGAGUAACAUAUCGGAACGUACCGAGUAAUGGGGGAUAACUAAUCGAAAGAUUAGCUAAUACCGCAUAUUAUUCGAGCGGCCGAUAUCUGAUUAUCUGGUUGUGGGGGUAAAGGCCUACCAAGGCGACGAUCAGUAGCGGGUCUGAGAGGAUGCUCGGCCAAACGGGGACUGAGACACGGCCCAGACUCCUACGGGAGGCAGCAGUGGGGAAUUUUGGACAAUGGGUGCAAGCCGGAUCCAGCCAUGCCGCGUGUCUGAAGAAGUCCUUCGGGUUGUAAAGUACUUUCAGUCGGGAGGCGUUUCCGACAGAAGAAGCACCGGCUAACUCCGUGCCAGCAGCCGCGGUAAUUC
rnacentral:rRNA from 1 species